rnacentral:rRNA from 1 species
CAAUAGCGUAUAUUAAAGUUGUUGCAGUUAAAAAGCUCGUAGUCGGAUGUCGGGCUCGGGCAGGCUGUCGGCUUCGGUCGGACGGCAGGCUCGGGUCUUUCUGCCUGAGGAUCCCGUUGCACUUAAUUGUGGGGCGUGGGGACGCAGGCCGUUUACUUUGAAAAAUUAGAGUGUUCAAAGCAGGCCUACGCUUGAAUACAUUAGCAUGGAAUAAUGGAAUAGGACUUUGGUGCUAUUUGUUUGGUUUAUUGGGACCGGAAGUAAUAGAUUAACAGGGACGAGUUGGGGCCGGUUUAUAUUUCGUUGUUCAGAGGUGGAAAUUACUUGGAUUUACGUAAAGAUAAACUUACUUGCGAAAGACAUUCGGCAAGGAUGUUUUCUAUUGAUCAAGAACGAAAGUUAAGGGGAGUCGAAGACGAUUAGAUACCA